CUCCCAGAUAUUUCCCUCUACUUCCACCUCCCGUUCUUCGCAUACUUUCCAGUGUAGAUUUUUACAGAUGUUAUUUUGUUUGCAGUGAUGGGCACAGCUAAC